CCAAGCGAUCAUCUCUGUGAGCCUUCCUGUCCCAAGAACAAAGGAAGACAGAAGGCAGGAAAAUCUGGAAGUGAAUCGCGGGAUUGGCAAGUGGUGUACGGUGGAGGAUUUGGGUUUUGUGGAACAUCGGUCCAACUUCUAUGGGGAGAGAAUGCUGUUUGGCUAGCCGCUUCCUCAGUAUAAUGGGGACCAAGCUCCUUCAGGGACAGGGUGUAUAGAGUUAAACUAAUAGCAAAGAGGGAGGGUAAAAAGAAGGAAGAUAUGAGUACUCACCACAAAAUCAAUAUGUUGAGAACAAAAUUCAUCAAGGAACCAAAGGACAUGAAGAGAAUAAGUUAUUGACUUGCCUAUGCACCAAUACUAGGAGCCUGGGUAACAAACAAGAGGAACUGGAGCUGCUCAUUUAUGAGCAUAGAGUCUGUCUUGUUGGUAUUACUGAAACGUAGUGGAUGAGUCACACAACUGGCAUGUUAAACAUCAGUGGUUAUGAGCUAUUAAGGAAGGACUGAGUAGGCGAAAGGCGGAGGGCCCUCGCUAUCCAAAGUGACAUUAUCUACUUCUGAACCACUGAUACGCAGAAGAAAUGGUCAUGGAUCACUGUCCUAACAGAUGAGGACAUUGAGGCAGUGGACUGGGAAUCUUGGCUAAGCUCACGGAGGAGGUCAGCACCAGAGACAAGAUUAGAAUGCAGGCUUCUAGUCCUAUGCUCAGAUCAUGAGCCCUACACAUUUUGCCAGAACUAAACUCACCGAGAAUGGCAAGAAAAAGGAAAAGAUUCCCUUCUUUUUCCAGCAAGAGGAACAGGGAGGGAAGAGAGUACUUCCAUCUCAGCGAGCUCCCCUGACAGCCCAUGAUUGAAGCUCAUUUGAUGACAUUAUUAAAUGAUUCAGUGCAUUUUCUGCCUCUUAAAGUGCUUAAUAUAUGUGCCACUGUGAUUCAUUAUUAUCUAAUAAAAGAUUAUCUGACUUGC